rnacentral:tRNA from 1 species
GGAUGGAUGUCUGAGCGGUUGAAAGAGUCGGUCUUGAAAACCGAAGUAUUGAUAGGAAUACCGGGAAGCCUACCCACGGUGUUAACUUGCCAUCCC